GGCCUUCCAAUGCUUACCACAGGCUGUGUUUUUUACACUGACUUUAUAGAAAGAGGAGGUACUGUAGAAGCAUUUACUGUAUAUACACCUCAAACCAGGUCUUUUGCCUGGUCUGUAUUGUGAAUGGGGGGACAAAA